ensembl:lncRNA
AUGCGCACCGGAGCAGUGCUAAUGGCGGAGAGCGUGCGGUCGCCGUUCGAUUACCGGGAGCCCCCGACCCUCGACAGCGACGGGGAUGGAGGAAAGCCGCCUCCACCGCGCGGGCGAGUGUGUGGCAGGAAGAGGAAGGGGACGCCGGGGAAGGUGUGUGAAAGAGCGGCGUAUGUGACGGAGGACGAGGAGGAGAGUCUGUCUGAACACAGUUACAGCCCAGGAGACGGUCAGUACGCAGAGGGAUCUGAAGGCCGGCUUCCUCCAGCGGGCAGCCCGUACUUCCUCACCGACCCGUCUCAGCUCUGGUACCAGACCCGCUUCACUGACAAGAAACGCCUGUGCUGUCAGUCUGUCACCUCUCGAAGCUUAUUUCCACCACAGAAUCAAAAUAUUGACAGUUUUUCCUCAUAAUUCUGAUUAUGAGAUUCUCAGAAAUACUGCUCAAUUCUGACUUUUUUCCUCAUAACUCGUAGUUUAUAUCUCACAAUUCUGACUUUUCUAUCAUAAUUCUGAGUUUACAUCUCGAAAUUCUGAGUUUGUCCUGUAAUUCUGAGUUUUUUCUUGUAAUUCUAAGUUUGCAUCUUUUAUAUCCUGUAACUCUUAGUUUAUAUCUCACAAUUUUUACUUUUUCUCAUAAUUCUGUUUUUAUAUUUCGCAGUUUUGGCUUUUUUUUUUCUCUAAAUUGAGGUUAUACUUGUAAAGAGGGCGCUAGCGGCGUCCGCGGCCCUGUGCUGUUCCACCCAGCGCCCAACUGCAGGAUUAGAGAGGUGCAUUGUGGGAGUCAGGUCCGGCUCGUCGUCAUAGCCAUUCGAGACAUUGCCAAAGGCGAGGAGAUCACCGUGGACUACAGCCUGACGGACUGGGGAGAGAAUGCCAUGGUGAGCGAUCAGAACCUCACUCAAACACACUAUACUGUAUUCUCCCUGCACUUCUGCGUACCCUUUAACUCAUUCAUGAUCUGUUUAAUCACAGGGCUUUCAUACUUCGGUGUCCCCGCGCGGGUUUGAAUGUGGAUUCAACCCAGAGAGCACCAUCAAGAAGGUGAUUCAUGCAGCACACACACAAACACACACUGCGCUGACAGCUCCUAAAAAAAAAAACUAGCUCCUAAAUCUGUGAUAGGUUAGGAGUAGUGAAGAGGACUCCUACAUCACUAAGAGCAAACCACAAACUAUCCUAAAAUGGAUGGUGCCGUAAAUCUGUGAGAGAUUUCUCUUGUGUAGGAACAUUUUCCCCUGAAAGCUGUUGAAUGCAUGUUUCUGUGAUGACUGUGUGUCUCACAGCUGGUGUGUCUCUCUGCAGGAGGAGGAGCCGGGGUCACUGCCUCUGUCUCUCACUGUUUCUGACUACCUCACUCCGUCCUGGUCUCUGUCUCCCUCCUCCUCUCUAUCUCGGAUUGAGCACAACCCAAUAAGCAGGUGAUUAUGUACAGACACGAGCUUAAAAUCUGUGAUGUAAUGAGCGUUUGAUCCGUGAUGUUAAGGCAUCAGAUCCCAAUUAGUCUGUGAAUUUAAGAGAUAUAACAACUGAUGAAGGGGAAAAACACAUGGCAUGAAGUGAAGGUGUACUUACAGAGUCACAGAAUAUGGAAAUACUGUAUUUGAAAGAUGAGGAUGGAUCUGUCAGUCAGGCUGUAUCAUGCGAUGAAGAUGACCUACAAAGUAAAACAAAAAAACACUGUGCCCUCAGUACAGGAAUAAAUCGUCAAAAGCAAAGCCA